AUUGAACGCUGGCGGCCGGCCUAACACAUGCAAGUCGAACGAGUGGCGGACGGGUGAGUAAUGUCUGGGAAACUGCCCGAUGGAGGGGGAUAACUACUGGAAACGGUAGCUAAUACCGCAUACCAUCGGAUGUGCCCCGAUGGGAGUAGCUAGUAGGUGGGGUAAUGGCUAACCUAGGCGACGAGCCCUAGCUGGGCUGAGAGGAUGACCAGCCACACGGGGACUGAGACACGGUCCAGACUCCUACGGGAGGCAGCAGUGGGGAAUAUUGCACAAUGGGCGCAAGCCUGAUGCAGCCAUGCCGCGUGUAUGAAGAAGGCCUUCGGGUUGUAAAGUACUUUCAGCGAGGAGGCGUUACUCGCAGAAGAAGCACCGGCUAACUCCGUGCCAGCAGCCGCGGUAAUAC
rnacentral:rRNA from 1 species